GACUAAUCCAAAGGUAAUGAGUUAUCUUGAUUGUUACAGUCAGUCACUGAUUGAACUCCUUGUUAUACACACCCAAUUCCCCACUCACCCCCAUUCCGCCUAUUUCUGUACUUGACCAGUCAAAC
rnacentral:Y_RNA from 1 species